UUUUCAAAGUUGAGUAGUAUAGUUCCAAUGGAGCAAGCAUAUAAAAGCGCUAUCGUUUCUAGAAGUAUUUAAACUAUGUGUAUUGAAGCAAUUUGUUGUGGAAUGACAGAAAGAGCAGCGGGGAGUAGUUAUGCAGUGUAGGCGAAUGACUUUAUGGUUAAAAUCUUACUAAACAGGGAGUUCCUCAGUAUAUUGGAAAUCUCAUAAAAGAUGAAUGAACUGACCUGACCAUUAAAUAUAACAAUACCAUUCGCGUUUCUGUUUGAAAAGCCUUUGCACUCCGGAACACAAUUACAACUACUUUUAGAAAAAUACUAAAGCAAGGUUGUCUGAUUCAUAAGGCAAAAAGUGUGUCAUGGUGAGCGUUUUUUCUCGGCUUAUUGUUUUUCAUUGUAGGACUUAUUUUUACGCUGUUUUUCGUUGUAGGACUUUUAUUUUUACGAGCACGACAUUUGUUUGCAGCUCCCCUGCGGCAAUUUUCAAUUUUUUUAAGCCAAUUUUCAGAUCUUUAUAUCUCAUGUUCAAUUUUGAUUUUCCAAAAAAUGAUAUUGGAGGUACUUCUACCUAAGACGGGACGUGCAAAGUGAAAUAAAGUAAGGGCUCAGAUAAGCUGAAAUUCCGUUCCGAUUCCAUUCCGUUUUGACGUUGUGGAUCGCUGUGGAACUUAUGUUCAACCCUGUGCAUAUGUCUAAAUCAGAGCAAAACAAAUCGAGCAUCUCUUUUUCUCCUAUCAAUUUUUCUUUCGUGUGUCAUCAUACAUUCCAUUAGCAGACGGAAAGAGAUGAAAAAUUCAGUUUGUUUACAUUAUUAAAUGCAGUAAAUAAAAUUUGUUCAUUUCAAGUCUAUUUUCUCCAGUUAAAACAUGCAUUGAAAAAUGUUUAUCACAAUCGAAGCAUGAACGAGUUCCGGAAGCGCUUGUGGAGUAUAUUUUGUUGUUUGACCGAUCGAGGGCCCUACUAUAUGGUAGUGCAAAUUACGAGAUUACUGCGAGCGAAACGUGUACCAGCGUACGCAGCUUUGAUAAACGUCUGCUAUCUGUAUCGGUGACCAUGCCGCUUUGUAGCGGCGAAAAUGGAUACCCUCGGUACGAGAUCUAAACAUGCUAGCAUGCUAUUUGGAGCGGGCGCAUAACAAUUCAUGACUAUAUAUAAAGAAUAAGCAUAAUAAUAUAUAAGAAUAAACAAAAACGUCA